CACUAUCGAAGGAAUUAGCCUUAAUUCAUGGUG
rnacentral:ncRNA from 1 species